UCUUAAACACCUAUUAUACAAAAUUUGUGAUCUACGAAGAUCCAACGGUCGGAUUUUCAAUCCGUUUUUGGAAACGUGAUCCUUGCACUCGGAUCUACGUUCUUACCGAUUGUUUUAAGGUGUUUGAGCUUAUUGGAGCUUAUUUGAGGCUAGCCAAACUUUGGGUUGGAGUUUGGUGAAUUUGGCGGCACUUUGGGGGAGUGAGCCUAGGACUUGUUAGUGUUGGUGUGCAAGCAGUCAAGGUGAGUAUUCUACUCACUGAGAAAAUAUAUUUUACGUUUUUAUAGAAAUGCAAAUGAUAUAUGAUUUUCUUACUGAACUAACGAUAUGUUAACACGUAUGUUUUGGAUGUUUUAAGUAGAUUCAAUUAUGUUGAAAUAUCAAUGAUGUUACGAAAUGAUGCAUGAAUGAAAGGUUUUGAAUUGAUUUGAAGUGUGUUGCAGUUGGGAUUUAAUUAUGCAAAGUAGAAUGAUGAAUUUUCAUGUUGAUUGGUUCAUGGUAUUUGAAGAAAGCAUAAUUUGCAAAGAAUAGGAAUAUAGAGUUAGAAAGCAUGAUUUGCAAAGGAUAGGAGUAUAGAGUUUGAAUUGUAAAGCAUAAAGCAUGAACACAUAAUAAUGGAAGAGAGCCUAAUGCUCAUAAUAACGAAGAGAGCAUAAGGCUCAUAAUAAUGGAAGAGAGCGUAAGGCUCAUAAUAAUGAAAGAGAACGUAAGGCUCAUAAUAACGAAGAGAGCGUAGGGCUUAUAAUAAUGGAAGAGAGCGUAAGGCUCAUAAUAACGAAGAGAGCGUAAGGCUCACAAUGAAUAAAAAGACUAUCAUGAGCAUGCAUAACAUUGUCUAAAUUGUAUGAUGUUUUCAUGAUAAGUAUAUUGUAGUUUUGCUAGACGUAUUAGUAUGCAUAAGAGUCUUGAUAGAAAAAGAACUUAUGUAUAUUGGUAUCGGAUAGUUGCAUGAUUUAAAUGCCAUUGUUUUCUAUAACGAAUCUCCUACGAAUAAUAUU